rnacentral:rRNA from 1 species
UACGUAGGCAGCGAGCGUUGUUCGGAGUUACUGGGCGUAAAGAGUGCGUAGGCGGUUUUCUAAGUCAGACGUGAAAUCCCCCGGCUUAACCUGGGAACUGCGUCUGAUACUGGACGGCUAGAGUAUGGGAGAGGGAUGUAGAAUUCCAGGUGUAGCGGUGAAAUGCGUAGAUAUCUGGAGGAAUACCGGUGGCGAAGGCGGCAUCCUGGACCAUUUACUGACGCUCAUGCACGAAAGCGUGGGGAGCAAACAGG